AGUAUACAACACAACAACAUUGUUUCGAUUCUCUCCGAUAAUCUUUGUCUUUCUCAAUCUUUGCCAUUCUCAAUCUUUGUCGCUCUCAAUCUUCCUCCGUUCUCUUCUACUUUCUCGAUCUUUAUCAUUCUCAAUCUCUCUUCCGAUGGAUUCACCAAAUCCUGCUAAGAAAAGAAAGAUAGAGUUUUCCCCUUCGGCGCCAAAACCUAAUAAGAUACGAAAGCUUCCGUUUUUGGAUGAGAUUCCUCAAAUGCUCACAUUAUCACCUCGUGAUACUCCCUCACCAAUCAAAAAACGGUUGCAACUCAUGGAUGAAAUUAUUGAACUUGGUGAGAUGCGUUUAGAACUCUAUCGUCUCAUUAACAAAACCCAAGAAGCCAUGGAUGCUCAAAGAAAGAGAAAAGUCACAAUCUUGAUGUCAUUUAGAUAGUAACAACUCAUUCCUUUCAAUUGAUUUUGAGUUUGUGCAUCCUUGAUCAUCCGGCAGGUAUGUUGUUUUAUUUCCCAAUGUUAUUUUGAAUCAGUCAUCAGGUCAGUCAUUACAGGUAAUGUUCUUGUGUUUUCCUCUUUUUGAUUUGCAAGGUGGUUUCAUCUCUUAUGUUGUUGCAUUGCACUGCCUGUUAUUUAACAAUUAAAUUGUCUAUCCCACUCAUUUCUUACAUAACUUCAGGUUGCAAUCAUAGAAAGUAAUUCACUCUAACUCUGUUGGUAACUUCUUCUAUUCUUUUUCCUUUUUCACAGACUUUCCAUAAAGGUCAGUGUCACUCUUUUAUGCUUAUUACAUCAUGUCUUGCUAAUUUACAUCUUUUCUUUAGUCUAAAAUGUUUCUCAUAGUGUCUUUUCAUGUCAUGAAUCUCACUGGAUUGUCAGAGUCUUUGCAGGAAGGUACCACGGGCACAACGUUGAUAUGCUCAUGUCGUGAAUAGAUCAAAAUUAGUCUUCAGGUCAUUACAGAACCAGCUUUGAGGUUACAAAUGAAGGCGUUGACGCAACAGGGCAUUCAGUUGGUACAUCUUCGGAGGCUAAAUCUUCUGCCCAAGCAAACUGGAGGCUAAGAGAUAAGUAGUCAAGCUAAUUAGAGAAUGAGCAUCUGCUUACACACAAUAGUUGGUGUACUAGUUUAUCAGAUAAUUCUUUUUUUUUUUCUAAUUGAUCUUUCAGACAAUAUCUUACUUAGAAUUUUUUCAGACAAUAUCUUACUUGAAUUAGACUUUAGAAUAAACUUACUUUUAAUAUUUAUUGAAUUUAGAAACUUAAAUUUUGAUAAAUGUAUGCAUAAACAGGUCCUAAUGAUGUGGAGUUUAUCAUUAACCAAGCUGAAGUUUCGAUAGAACGGUUAUAUUUUAUGGUUAAUCUUUCUCAAUUAUUAUCAUUUGAUUGUGCAUUGUUGGUUAUAUUUUUUUAUUUCCCAACAUUAUUUUGAAUCCAUAACUAACUUGAUCGUCGGAGGCUUUGCAGGUACCACACCCUUGCUAUGAUCUUGUCAUGAAUAUAUCAAAAUCAGUCUUGAGAUCAUUAAAGGUGAUGUUCUUCUGGUUGCCUCAUUUGACUUGCUUGUGCUCAACAUAAAAUGUGAAACCUUCUUGACUUGUCUUAGGGGCUUUUUGUUGGUCUUCUUGUAGUGAGCUUAAUUACUUUUCAAUGUUUACAUUGUUAAUGUUUUGUGAAUUUUGUAGGAAGAUAACUCGGAAGAGGUCGGUGAAUAUUAAAAUAGUUAUUAUCUAUUAUGCCGUUGAACUUACUGUGAUAGAACAAUUAAAUUGUUUUCCCGCUCAUAUCUUUCAUAUGGUAAUCCAUCAUGUUUCCGUUUAUGUUCUAUAUAAUGCAUACAUGCUAGAGGCAGUAACUGCACAAAUUUUCUGUACUUAAUUGAGUUAUUAUUGAUAAUUUCGUACUGGACCAUGUGAAAUUGUUGAAGAACUUUGCAGUUACUUGAUAUGAUUACAGUUGUAUGACUUGCAAAGUCAUUUUAUUGGGACUUCGGGUAAAGGACAUCCUUCAUAUUUUCUUAAGUGGUUUUCCUUCAAUGUGGUUGCAGGGAUUUGUCAUUGGCUCAGCUCAUUUUAAGGUACCACACCUUUGCUAUGCCAGUGUCAUUGACACGGGAGCCUGCUGGAACAUUGGAAAUGGCAGAGGGUGAAAAUGUUGGGUCACAACUAGUUCCUUCGGGAGAGCCAGCAUUUGAGGUUACAAUUGAAGGCGUUGACGCAACAGGGCAUUCAAUUGGUACAUCUUCGGAGACUAAAGCUUCUGCCCAAGCAAACUGAAAGCUAAGAGAUAAGUAGUCAAGCUAAUUAGAGAAUGAGCAUCUGCUUACACACAAUAGUUGUUGUACUAGUUUAUCAGAUUAUUCAUUUUUUUUUUCUAAUUGAUCUUUCAGACAAUAUCUUAGAAUUUUUUUCAGACAAUAUCUUACUUGAAUUAGCCUUUAGAAUAAAAUAAUAUUAAUGGACACAUUUAUUUCCAUCAAUAUUUUAUUUAUGUUACAUUUGUUGGGUAUAAAAUAAAUUUUGCUUUGAAUUAUGUAAAAUUAUGUAAGAACUCAAUUGAAUUUGCAGGUUGGUUUCUAUCAAUGGGUCACAUUUGAAGAGGCUUAUGAUGCUGUUAUCUGAAUCGGUUCCGCCAUGAAGAGCGGCAGUGUCAGUCCUGUAACUGUUCUUGUUCUAUUAACUUACUAUACUAAAUAUUCAUAAAUUUAUGUAAUUAAUAUAACUAGCUUUUGUUUUUUGUAUCACAAGGGUGACUGUUGUGGCAUAAAUGGAUCCAAUUGUCCGGAUGGAUAUUUGCAAUGGAGGUCCUAAUGCUGUGGAGUUUAUCAUUAACCAGGCUGAAGAUUUGGCAUAAAUCAGUACCAACUCAUUAUUUGUAAGAUAUCUUUGUUUCCCAACUUUCAUGCUUAUUACUUUGGGAGGCAAGAACCAAGUCAUUUUUUGAAAACCAGAAUUUCAUGCCUUCGGUUUUUGCCAACAAUGCUGAAUUUUUUAUCUAAGAAUUCAACAAAGCUAAUGAAAAAGAUGCCCCUUAAGCCUCCCAUGUACCUGCAGCUGCAACUUGGGGGGCUUCUUAAGAAAAUGAAUGUUGAUACAAAGUGAUUCCAUCGCUCCAAAUCUCCCUUGUUUUCAGCUCAUCUAGAAUUCCCUGAAUACUAACACUAUCAGUUUCGUGAUCCUUAAAUUUUGGAUCAAUUUUCUCUUUACUCUCAAUCCUGACUUGUCGUUUAUAUCCCUCAUGCUGAUGAAGUUCUCUGCUGAAACCUUGUUGAUGUAUUAUUUGUGGAUCAUACUCAAUCUGUUGUGCCAUCCCUCUGAGAUGAGGUAGGGCAUGCUCCUGUUGUUGACUUCUUGUUUCCUUGCUUUCCUUCUUCGUAGAAGUUAUGUUGAGCCCCUGUUGUUGAUUUAUAACCUGUUGUGCAUUGUCUUGGAUCUGGUCUGAGUAAUUCCCCUGUUUUUGCAUUCCUGUUGAGUAUGAAUAUUAUUGAUCUGCUGAUGUUGAUUUGUAUGUAGCACUGAGAUUCUCGAAUUCCGGAUCCUGGUGUUAAUUUGUGCCUUGUCGAAUUUUGGAUUCAUGUUGUGUAGUAUGACUAAUGCUCAACUGUUGUUGAUUUCUCUGUAGCACUUCCUCUACCUGCUUACCAACAUCUUUGAUUUUCUCAAAAUCAUGCUCCUGGUAUAGAUUUGUGCCUUGUUUCUCAUUGUAUUCCUGUUACUUAGUAUAACUGAUGGUUUCUUGCUGGUGUUGAGUUAUGCAUGCCACAUCCUCCACCUGUUUUGUAAAAUCUCUACUCAUCUCUAGAAUAUGCUUAUGUUGUUGAUAGGAUUAUUUGUGUUGCUCUCAGCCUCUACCUGGUUUGCAAUGCUUGUGAUCUUCAAUAUAUAUAUAGUAGGCAACAUUGCGCUUCUGUAAUCUGUACUAGCAGCAUAGUGUAAUCUUACAAGUUCUUUACCUAUUUAUUGAUAUACCACAAAAACUAAUUCACAAAAUCAGUGAUUUUUGUUUGAGGAUUCUGCUCUGUAGCAUUUAAUCAAUGGUGAUUAUUAGUAUGUUUCACAAUUCCAAAAUUGCACUUUGGCCUUUUCUACUCAAUUAAUCAUGCUUGUUGUUUUACUCUGCUAGAGGCCUGAUUAAUAUAACUGAAGAUGGAUUUGUGUAAGGUAUGUUUUUAUUAAAACAUAUAAGCCAUUGUUCUAUGGCCUAACCAUUUCCUUGUGAUCCUUUUUGCUGUUUUUGUUCCCAGUCAGAUAAAUUGCACGAAUAUUGUUUUGAGCUAUUUCUAGCACUUUCUUUUUUUAUACUGGUAAGGGUGGUUAUGUGCUUUGAUUUUGUGGAGUCCCAUCACCAAAUUGUGUUUGAUUUUUCUUGAGGAGACUGGCUAGUCCUACAACAACUUCACAAUUACUGGAUAUGAUUACAAAUGGAUUUGUCAUUGCUCCCAGCUUUACUAGUUGACUUAAUAUACCGAUGCUAUGGAUAAUCUUUCUCAAUUAUUAUUUUUUCUAUGCAAUUGUGAACUUAUCAUGAUCUGCUGGAGGAUAUCUAAGGUAGUAUGUUGUUUUAUUUCCCAAAAUAAUUUUGAAUUCAUUACUAACUUGAUCGUCGGAGUCUUUGCAGGUACCACACCUUUUUGCUAUAUGCUAAUGAGUAUGAUCAAACAUAAAGGGAAACCAACAUCUCAAAAAUGUGGUUGGAAAUUUAUGUGCUCCAGUAGAAGAGUGGACAGUUGGUAGAACCGAACUCACCUCACUCAUGGUUGUAGAGAGGAGACAUGUUUGGCUGCAAUCAAUGGAAGUUCCACUGGAUCAAUAUCAUCACCAUCGGCUGGAUUGGGACCUAGCGAAAAUGUGAGCGGAUGUAGUAAAGCUUCUUGGAUGGUGGUUUUGGCUCUCAUUCAUCACUUAUUUGCUGCUCAUGGUUUCACUUUAUGCAUAACAGCAAAAGGUGAAAAUAGGCACUAAUUGGCAAGAGAAAAAAGCUUUCCUGUUAUUUGUUCAGGCUGCACAUGUUAAAAAUUUUAGGAAUAUCAAAUUAGGUGUUACUAUCGAUGUAGAACAGAACUGAUGAUGACAGACCAACUUAUUAUCUAAAAAAGUCCAUUCUUAGUUGUUUUCUUAUGGUUAUUUCCUUUCUAUCAUGCAGCUAUCAGUUUUCUAUACUGCUUUUGAUUUGGGAUGACAUAUAUGUUGGCUUAGGUGUUAGUUCUGGUUAUUGGUUUUAGUUUGCU